AGAGGAAGUAAAAGUCGUAACAAGGUUUCCGUAGGUGAACCUGCGGAAGGAUCAUUAUUGAAAUAAACCUGAUAAGUUGUUGCUGGUUCUCUAGGGAGCAUGUGCACACUUGUCAUCUUUGUAUCUCCACCUGUGCACCUUUUGUAGACCUUGGGUAUCUCUCUGAUUGCUUUAGCAACUCAGGAUUGAGGAUUGACUUUCUGUCUCUUCUUACAUUUCCAGGCCUAUGUUUUUCAAAUACCCUAAUGUAUGUUUAUAGAAUGUAAUCAAAUAGGCCUUUGUGCCAAUAAAUUGAUACAACUUUCAGCAACGGAUCUCUUGGCUCUCGCAUCGAUGAAGAACGCAGCGAAAUGCGAUAAGUAAUGUGAAUUGCAGAAUUCAGUGAAUCAUCGAAUCUUUGAACGCACCUUGCGCUCCUUGGUAUUCCGAGGAGCAUGCCUGUUUGAGUGUCAUUAAUAUAUCAACCUCUUUUUUUGUGGUUGGAUGUGGGUUUGCUGGCCACUUUGGAGGUCAGCUCUCCUUAAAUGCAUUAGCGGACAAUAUUUUGCCAAAUGUUUCAUUGGUGUGAUAAUUAUCUACACUAUUGACGUGAAGCAAGGUUCAGCUUCUAACAGUUCAUUGACUUGGACAAUUUUUUAUUUUAUUAAUGUGACCUCAAAUCAGGUAGGACUACCCGCUGAACUUAAGCAUA
rnacentral:rRNA from 1 species